rnacentral:rRNA from 1 species
AUUGAACGCUGGCGGCAGGCCUAACACAUGCAAGUCGAACGAGCGGCGGACGGGUGAGUAAUGUCUGGGGAUCUGCCCGAUGGAGGGGGAUAACUACUGGAAACGGUGGCUAAUACCGCAUACUAUCGGAUGUACCCAUAUGGGAUUAGCUAGUAGGUGGGGUAAAGGCUCACCUAGGCGACGAUCUCUAGCUGGUCUGAGAGGAUGACCAGCCACACUGGGACUGAGACACGGCCCAGACUCCUACGGGAGGCAGCAGUGGGGAAUAUUGCACAAUGGGCGCAAGCCUGAUGCAGCCAUGCCGCGGGGAGGAAGAAGGCCUUAGGGUUGUAAAGUACUUUCAGCGGGGAGGCGUUACCCGCAGAAGAAGCACCGGCUAACUCCGUGCCAGCAGCCGCGGUAAUUC